CUUACUUCUAAUAACUGAGCAUUAGUACCACAUCCUCAGACUGACCUUGAAUGGAGCUUGAUAUGGAGCGGAUUACGAGGAGUGGUUGCAAUGAGGAGUUGUCGGUUGAACUUCCACCAUUGAACUUCCAGGAGCGUCAGUUGAUGGGAGGACGCAUUCCCACAAAGGGACCAGGAAUUAGUGUACAUUCUGAGUUGGACUGGAAUAAAGUUUUAUUUUUAUUUUUAUUGAAGCGGGUCAUCGUUGCUCGUGAAGGCGUCCAGUUGCUUCACCUGCCCUCGAAAGCAGUUGCGUUGAGGAGUCAUGCUGUUGCCUCCAGUUUUUAUGGCGUACGCACUUCUUGUCCGUUGCUUUUAGAGAGCCGAUACAGCUCAGGUUGUGUCCCUCUACAACCCACUGACAGUGGAUGAUAGCUGCCGACGUUUCGCAACGUAGUUGAGCGCGCCUGGUGCUGCAGUCUAGGGGUGUUUCAAAGCAGGGAAGACUACGUGAAUUGGCAGAUGCAUCAAUACCUGGUACUCUACAGCCUGGCAUCAAGGAUCUGAUAAGACUUGUUACCUUGGACUUGAGUGGAAACAAACUUGUGAACAGAUUUCCUACGCAUUUUAACACCGAAGGAACCCUGCAAAGUUUCAAAAUUGGACGAAACAUACUUGAUGGUGACAUAGCGAUGAAUUCUUCUGAAAUUUUGACUCAAUUGCUCACAUUUUUUCAAAGCAUUUUAGUUCCGGUCGUGGGAGGUGACAAUCAAGAUGGGAUCUGUCCAGCAACAGCUUCACAGGGUCAAUAUCAAAUUUCACAAACCUAAUAAAUCUGUAUAACCUUACUACGCAUGAUUCGGAAGCACAUUAAAUUAUUUCAACCUUGGGAAUCAAACUUUUAUCCAUUGUGCGACGUGCAUGAUAAUCUUUUUAAGGUGGCACUUUAUGAAACCAGUGAUAAUCAAACAGUGAAUUCAUGCUGCCGGAAUAUCAGUCGCAACAACUUCACAAAUCUACCUCAACUCAUAGCUUUUCAACGGGUGGCUUCGACCCAAUAGCCAGCUAGGAGUGCUGGAUGUUUCAAGCCUCAAGUUUGGAGGUGUUUGACCAGAUUGGAACUCGAUUCCAUAUCUGCUAUCAUUGGAGAGACUGUGCCUUGACAACAUCAAUAUGAAUGGAAGUUUGGAUUUGAUCAGCAUGCAAUCCAGCAUUCAAAAUCUGAAGAAAAGUAAUAAAAGGAUUUUACGAGUAUUGAGUUUAAGAAACCAUCACAUUUUGAAUGUGAACUUUGACAAAUCCUUCAUAACAAGUAGAGGGAUCCUUCUCAAGGAAACCCAUAUUGUGAUGACUCUUCAAAAGAUGUGAAUGGAAAAAGAUGUUAUUGUGAGCAAUAUUGUCAGACAUCUUUUUGAUGAAUCAAAGAAUAUAAAUUGGAAAAUCAUUGUCAUCCCAACGUCAAUAUGUAUAUUUUUAUUGGGAUCAGUGUUCUUAUGCAUUCUUUAAAUACUCCAUCAAAGAAACAAAAAUGAUUUGAUGAAAUUGAUGUAAGAACAAAACAAUUUGAUUAAAAGAAUUAUGUAUUGCAACAAAAAACUUUGCUAAGGAGAAAAAGCUAGGACAAGGAUCAUAUGGUGCUGUGUACAAGUAAAAAAACUUUUUUUAAAGACUAAAAAGGCAAGUGAGGAAUUCUUAAAUGAAGUACUUUUAAUCUCAAAUCUUCAACACUGCAACCUUGUAUCUCUUAAAAGGAUAUUGCAUCCAUGACAAAGAGAUGCUUUUAGUUUAUGACUUCGUUGAGUAUGGUGACCUUGACAAGCUACUACUCCAAGGAUCCAAGAGCAUAGGACGUGUAUGGCAAGUGGUAAUUUGGCCUGCAAGAAUGCAUAUAUUUUUCGGCAUAGCUCAUGGUCUUUAUUAUCUCCAUGCAUCAUCUCAAACAAAAAUUAUUCAUUGCAAUAUCAAGACUAGUAAUAUUCAAUUAAAUAAGAAUCUUAAUCCAAAAAUUGCAGACUUUGGCCUAGCAAGGCUAAUUCAAUAUGAAAGAAGUGAAAUUAUGGCCCAACAAUGAGCUAGCACAGUGUGCGCACAUAUUUCAAGCUCAUGAGUAAAGAUAUCUAUUAUAUUUAAUCAUGUAUAAUAUCAAUUAGUUGAAGUUUUCUUAACACUUAAAACAUUUUUAAACAUGAUUUGUGCAGAGGGUACUUAGCACCAGAAUACAUGCUGUAUGGUCAACUAAGUGAGAAGGCUGAUGUUUAUUGUUUGGUGUUUUACUUUUGAGAUUGUGAGUGGAACAAGAAAUAAAGAUCCAACCAAAUAAAUAUUUUACUAAUAUUUAGUCUUAAAUCUAUGUUGCCUUAAGCUAUUGUAUGAGAUGAUUUUAAAUAUAUUUUCAU